AGUUGCAAGCUCGAGGCCAUAGCAGAAGCGUUCAUGGUGCGGCCUGUCAGACUCCAACCUAUCUGUGAAUUUUGCU
rnacentral:lncRNA from 1 species